rfam:Fusarium oxysporum Fo5176 contig03659, whole genome shotgun sequence.
GCGUAAUUGGUUUAGUGGUAAAAUUCUCCGUUGCCAUUCGAGCAGAUUUGCACCUUCCUCGUUGAUAGACGUCGGCAACCAAAUCUCCACUAAUUUUACAAUUAUACUUUAUGAUCUGGGGGGUUCCUUCGGAACCCCCAAGAUCAUAAAGAGCCCUGGGUUCGAUUCCCAGAUUACGCA